rnacentral:lncRNA from 1 species
GGGCCUGGCAAGGAAGUGUUAACACGAGAAAUGGAGAUCUCCUAUUCCUGACUCCCUCCUGGAACCAGCACGUCACUCCAGGCCCCCAGAGGCAUUGGCCCUCCUGUGAAUUCAACCAAGCGUGGUGUCCCAUAGCAAAUAUGGAAAACGCCUGGAAAAAGCCACCAGAUGGUGCUUCUCCAUGCCAAGUAAGAAGCCAGGUGUGGUUCCCGUGUCUGCUCUCCGCAGCCCUCCUGGGAGGGUUUGAAGAGACAGCUGAGAGCGGCCAGCUGGGAAGAGCACGCUUGCCUUGUCAGCGGAGAGUAGGUUCUGAGCUCUGCUGAGUCAGCGUGGCCAGGCAGGGCUGGGGGGCCUCAGGGCUCCAGGCCCCACCUCUUACCUCUACAGUCUCCCACCCCGGCUGCCUGCCCCAGCCGGUCAAAAUGCCAGGUAACCCCCGGUGGAGAUAGGCACCUGUGAGAAGUAUCACUGCUUCGUGGGUCAGGGGCUUGGACCCACCAGGGCUGUGUCACCUGCGGACCAUGUGAACUCAACUCCCACCCCCCGGCCCCUGCCCAGCCUCCCCUACCAGGCUCGAUGUAAAGUGAUGGUGAAGUGAAAACAGAUUUGGGGCCCUUGCCACCUCUUUCUGGUUGGUAACUUUGUUUCUUGGACAACAAUGCAGAGUUUGAAGCCCAUCCAGGGACAACAUUCCAUCUGCCCCCUGCAAGUUCCGGUAAUUGGUCACUAUUUAUAAUUAUAUAAAUAAUAGAAAAACAAGCUUAAGCUGCCCUCCCCAAAAACCCAGUCUCCUCCUAUUUUUAGGCAGCCAGCCUGCCCUCCUGUAGGGCAGCGUCCCUCUGAGGUCUGGGCCACUCAGCUCCAGCCAUGGGCUGAAGCAAUGAUGCUGGUGACAGCAGUGAUUCUGCCACCCAGGAAGGGGCCAGGGGUGAUUUUCUAACUCAAGGUUGAGUUUAAAGCUCUCAGAGAAUGAAGAGAAGGAACUAUUCUAAAGCCCCCUUGCUGCGAUCAUUCUCCCAAGACCAAAUCUGAUUCUGUAAGAACUGGGAGCUGGACAGAGAUUCGAGUCUGAGUUUCAUUGAUGUGUCUCACUGGGAGUCACGGGACCGGGAGAGACGGGAGGCUAGAAGAGACAGGAGAGUCAGGCUGGCUAUAAAGUCCUUGAUGUCCAACUACCACCCCCCUGCCAAAAAAAAAGGAACAGACAGUUGGGAAGGGUGUGCUCUAUGCCAGCCAUUUCACCCUUGUUCCGACUCUUCAAAGAUGGGAUUGUGGGGCCUAUUAUACCGAUGAAGACAUUGAGGUUUGGAGUUGCAAUAUAACCAACCCAAUGGUACACAGCCAGGGAGUGGGCAGAGCCAGGAUUCAACUCAGAUCUGAAUCGAUCUCCUAUAGCAUGCCCACGGCUAUGGGGGAAGAUCAGGGUGCCUCGGGAAAAAAGAUUGUUCAAAAGAAAAUCAAAACGAUAACUUUAAUUUCAAAAUGCAAAUUGCGGGUGAAUCUCUGAUCCCAUUGACACGAAAACCAAGAGACCACGACAUAUGAAACCAGCCUAAGGAGCCUGAAUGAUCUUAUGAGAAAAAGCGUCUGUGUCAGAGCCAAAUCACUGACGCAGGCCACCUGUGCGGUCUCCCUCUCCCUGGACCUACUUUAUGAGAGCUUCACCACACAUUGCUUGUUUGAUGUGGUUUAGGUGCGGUCUUCGCUAAGAGGCCAAGCAAGAUGAUGUAAUCACCUGAUGAGUUCCUCCUGCCCACUGCACAGACAAAACCAAUUCACUGAGACGACGGCAUUGCAAUAAAGAAAGAGCUUAAUUGACACAAGGUUGGCCACUCCUGUCUCAAAUCAAAUCAAUCUGAAAAUUUGGAGGCUAGGGUUUUUAAAGGAUACUUUGGUGGGCAGGGGGCUGGGGAAUGGGGGCUGCUGAUUGGUUGGGGAUGCAAUCACAGGGUUGUGGAAAUUGGUCCUUGUGCACCAAGUCCACUUCUGGGCGGGCUCCCCAGGACCGGCUGAGCCAAGAGUUGAAGGUCUGGGUGGGGCCAUCCGGUCAUCAGAAAUGCAGGUAAAGACAUCUCAAAAGGCCAAUCUUAGGUUCCACAAUAGUGAAUUGGGACAGUUGCAAAUCUUGUAUCCUCUGGAAUAAUGGCUGGUUGUCAUUUAACUAUGCCUGCGUCUUAGCGAAAUUUAGGCCCCUCUCAUCCUCCUAACCUGGUGGCCUUUCUUUUCUUUUCAUUUUUUUUUAAGAAACAGG